rnacentral:tRNA from 1 species
GCCUGGGUGGCUCAGUCGGUUUUAGCAUCUGACUUCGAUUCAGGUCAUGAUCUCGCGGUCCGUGAGUUCGAGCCCCGCGUCGGGCU